rnacentral:siRNA from 1 species
ACUCGACCCUCUACUCUAUCCAAC